UACGUAGGGGGCGAGCGUUGUCCGGAAUCAUUGGGCGUAAAGCGCGUGUAGGCGGCUCAGUCAGUCUGGUGUGAAACCUUGGGGCUCAACCCCAAGCCUGCACUGGAUACUGCUGAGCUUGAGUCCGGGAGGGGAGAGCGGAAUUCCUAGUGUAGCGGUGAAAUGCGCAGAUAUUAGGAAGAACACCGGUGGCGAAGGCGGCUCUCUGGAACGGUACUGACGCUGAGACGCGAAAGCGUGGGGAGCAAACAGG
rnacentral:rRNA from 1 species